AACGAACGCUGGCGGCAGGCUUAACACAUGCAAGUCGAGCGCCCGCAAGGGAGCGGCAGACGGGUGAGUAACGCGUGGGAAUCUACCUAGUUCUACGGAACAACACAGGGAAACUUGUGCUAAUACCGUAUACGCCCUACGGGGGAAAGAUUUAUCGGAAUUAGAUGAGCCCGCGUUGGAUUAGCUAGUUGGUGGGGUAAUGGCCUACCAAGGCGACGAUCCAUAGCUGGUCUGAGAGGAUGAUCAGCCACACUGAGACUGAGACACGGCCCAGAAUCCUACGGGAGGCAGCAGUGGGGAAUAUUGGACAACGGGCGAAAGCCUGAUCCAGCCAUGCCGCGUGAGUGAUGAAGGCCUUAGGGUUGUAAAGCUCUUUCAGUAGGGAAGAUAAUGACGGUACCUACAGAAGAAGCCCCGGCUAACUUCGUGCCAGCCGCCGCAGUAA
rnacentral:rRNA from 1 species